CCCUGCCAUUGGCUGCUCGCAAGGCGCGCCCGGACUGGCCGCCGGUGCUCCAGCGCUGACUGGUCCCGGCGCUGUCCCGGGAGUGAGGUCACUUCCACUCCGCCGCGAAGCUCCUCCUGGGAUUUUCUGACCAGCUGAGAUCCAGAUGGAAUUUCACAUCUAAGAGACACUGAAUGAGACAAAGGAUAGAUGUUCUGCCCAUGCCUAUGUAUAAUAACAUAUCAGAAAUAUGAGAAGACUAUGGUUAUUAUACGUGAACCAUUUCACAGCUAUUGAGGAUGCCAUAACCUACAUUGUGAGAUAAAUCCCUGAUGAACUAAGCGACCUUGAAGCAAUCCCACUAGGCAACUGCUGUAUCUCCAGAGAUACUGUGGAAAUUCUAGUUUACAGGAAGACUGAAACCUCUUUAGGUCCUGGUGUAGACAAGUCAGAAUGUAAUCUCCAGGCCCCCAGAGGCCACAGAUGUCCCAGGAGAGCACCGUGCAAGCAAGGCAGCUCCAAACACAGAGGAAGAAAACAAACGAGUCACUUGGCCACCUUUGUAAAAAGUGGUGGCCAAUCAAAGACAGCACUCUUUGCUUCCAGUGUGCCAGUGGAAUGAAGGGGCAGGAACACCUGUGACAGCUGCUGUUUCACUUCCCUAGGCACUGUUAAACCAUGGGUGCUUCUACAUCAUAAACCCAUUAACUCUCUGUUAUCUCUUUAUGUGCACUUGUGCCUGUGGGCUCUGUUUUGUGCUGGGCAGUGCUUCGGAACUGUUUCAUUCAGCUAUUUUUGCCCUGCCAAUGAAAAGAAAUAGAGCAAUUUUCCUGUAGUUUGGUUCCUUCAAAGGCAUGAUUCCAAUUCAGCAAAGAGCUGAUUUCAGUGAAAAUGUGUAAGUUAACUCUGUUGAGAAAAUCUGACAUAGUAUAAUUAUUUUUCCCCAAGCAGAAAAAUCCUAUAUCAGAUAUAUGAACCAAAAAUGGAAUAAAGCUGAAUAAAAUAGAAAAAUUGCUUUAAAAUUGCUAGGGUGCAUCUGUGAAAACGGACACAUGCAUUUUUGUAGUAAAUACUUAUUUUUAAUUUUGAUGUAGAACAGAGAUCUCAGCAUAAUAUGAUAAAGAAGAUACUCUCAUCAACAUUUAAGAAUUCCAAUCUUUUCAGUUUCUUAGUUGCUUAGCAGAGCAACUUUGUGCUUCAAAGCUCUCUUUCAGAUUGGUCAAAAUAUGAAGAGUAACCAAGCUCUUGGUUAUCUCUUCAUGUCACUUCUCACAGCUGAAUUUGGUUUCUUUCCCUCCUACUUCCUCAGAAGACUGUACUUCUCACCAAUGAUUGUAGUUAAUGUUGUUUACAGCAGAAACAAUUAAAAGUUAGAAAGACUUUU